rnacentral:rRNA from 1 species
GAUGAACGCUAGCUACAGGCUUAACACAUGCAAGUCGAGGGGAAACGACAUCGAAAGCUUGCUUUUGAUGGGCGUCGACCGGCGCACGGGUGAGUAACGCGUAUCCAACCUGCCCACCACUUGGGGAUAACCUUGCGAAAGUAAGACUAAUACCCAAUGAUAUCUCUAGAAGACAUCUGAAAGAGAUUAAAGAUUUAUCGGUGAUGGAUGGGGAUGCGUCUGAUUAGCUUGUUGGCGGGGUAACGGCCCACCAAGGCUACGAUCAGUAGGGGUUCUGAGAGGAAGGUCCCCCGCAUUGGGACUGAGACACGGUCCAAACUCCUACGGGAGGCAGCAGUGAGGAAUAUUGGUCAAUGGACGGGAGUCUGAACCAGCCAAGUAGCGUGCAGGAUGACGGCCCUAUGGGUUGUAAACUGCUUUUAUAAGGGAAUAAAGUGAGUCUCGUGAGACUUUUUGCAUGUACCUUAUGAAUAAGGACCGGCUAAUUCCGUGCCAGCCGCCGCCGUAA